GGGAGUUUAGGUAAGUGGUAUACCUGCGGUCUCCAAAACCGCGAUCGGAGGUUCGAUUCCUCCAACUCCCG
rnacentral:tRNA from 1 species